UUCCGGUUGAUCCCGCCGGACCUGACUGCUAUCGGAUUGAUACUAAGCCAUGCGAGUCUUUGUAGUAAUACAAGGCAGACGGCUCAGUAACACGUAGUCAACCUACCCUAUGGACAAGAAUAAUCUCGGGAAACUGGGCAUAAUUCUUGAUAGAUCAUAAUGCCUGGAAUGGUUUAUGGUUAAAAUGAUUCGUCGCCAUAGGAUGGGACUGCGGCCUAUCAGCUUGUUGGUGAGGUAAUGGCCCACCAAGGCGAUUACAGGUACGGGCUCUGAGAGGAGAAGCCCGGAGAUGGGUACUGAGACACGGACCCAGGCCCUAUGGGGCGCAGCAGGCGAGAAAACUUUGCAAUGUGCGAAAGCACGACAAGGUUAAUCCGAGUGAUUUCUGCUAAAGAAAUCUUUUGCCAGUCAUAAAACCACUGGUGAAUAAGGGGUGGGCAAGUUCUGGUGUCAGCCGCCGCGGUAAAACCAGCACCUCAAGUGGUCAGGAUGAUUAUUGGGCCUAAAGCAUCCGUAGCCGGCUUUGUUAGUUUUCGGUUAAAUCCAUGUGCUCAACGCAUGGGCUGCCGAAAAUACUGCAUGGCUAGGGAGUGGGAGAGGUAGACGGUACUCAGUAGGAAGGGGUAAAAUCCUUUGAUCUAUUGAUGACCACCUGUGGCGAAGGCGGUCUACCAGAACACGUUCGACGGUGAGGGAUGAAAGCUGGGGGAGCAAACCGGAUUAGAUACCCGGGUAGUCCCAGCUGUAAACGAUGCAGACUCGAUGAUGCAUUGGCAUAAUAGCCAGUGCAGUGUCGCAGGGAAGCCGUUAAGUCUGCCGCCUGGGAAGUACGUACGCAAGUAUGAAACUUAAAGGAAUUGGCGGGGGAGCACCACAAGGGGUGAAGCCUGCGGUUCAAUUGGAUUCAACGCCGGG
rnacentral:rRNA from 1 species